rnacentral:misc_RNA from 1 species
GAUGAAGAACGCAGCGAAAUGCGAUACGUAAUGUGAAUUGCAAAUUCAGUGAAUCAUCGAAUCUUUGAACGCACAUUGCGCCCCCUGGUAUUCCGGGGGGCAUGCCUGUUCGAGCGUCAUUUCACCACUCAAGCCUCGCUUGGUAUUGGGCAACGCGGUCCGCCGCGUGCCUCAAAUCGACCGGCUGGGUCUUCUGUCCCCUAAGCGUUGUGGAAACUAUUCGCUAAAGGGUGUUCGGGAGGCUACGCCGUAAAACAACCCCAUUUCUAAGGUUGACCUCGGAUCAGGUAGGGAUACCCGCUGAACUUAAGCAUAUCAAUAAGCGGAGGA